rnacentral:rRNA from 1 species
UAGCGGGUGGGCCUAGGUCGGGUUAGCGAAUUGGUGGGGUAAUGGCUCACCAAGGCGACGAUCCGUAACUGGUCUGAGGGGAUGAUCAGUGACACUGGAACUGAGACACGGGCCAGACUCCUACGGGAGGCAGCAGUGGGGAAUAUUGGACAAUGGGCGAAAGCUUGAUCUAGCCAUGCCGCGUGUGUGAUGAAGGUCUUCGGAUUGUAAAGCACUUGAAGUGGGUAGG